UUAGAAGAUUGAGAGUAAGGUCAGGGAUUGAGUUUAGCAAACAUCCCAGUUGAACCUGAUUCAAGGAGUCCUCAGGGUGCACUGAGGAAAGCUGCUACACCUGGCCUGGAGGAGGAGCCUGUGGGUGCGGAGGCAGAGGCAGGGGCUUCUGCAGAAACAGAAAAUUGAUGACUAGCAUGGGUAACCUCGACUCUCCUGACCUGGCGUAUCUGUCCAGGCUGCCUUCAAAUCUCAGAGGAUGAUAAGCAGAAAAAACCAUUCCUGAAGGUCCUUGACUAUUUAAAACUGUGAAGAGCAAAGCUACAGAUGAUCCAAAGCAAAAUUCUAGUUUAAAAAAAAGUGCUUCGGUUUUUCCACCAAUGACCAAGGCAUCUUCCUGACCUAGGGAUGGAACCUGUCUCUCCCACUUGACAGUCAAUUCUUUACCACUGAGCCACCCAGGAAGCCCCAAACACUGUAUACAGAAAGAAUAUUUUGUAGCAUGGUUACUUUUUUCUAAGUCCAUGUAUCUACUUACUAUCUAUAGUUAUUAUUACUUUAUUAGUGGAAAAUAAAUUCUUAUAUUUCUUAGAUUAUACUUAUUGAUCAAAGAUCAGUUAUAAAUUUUGUGUCAUAAAGUGUUAGUUACUCAAUUGUGUCUGACUUUUUGUGACCCCAUGGAGCCUGCUAGUUCCUCUGUCCAUGGAUUCUCUAGGCAAGAAUACUGGAGUGGAUUGCCAUUUCUUGUCCAGGGGAUCUUCCCAGCCCAGGGAUUAAACCUGGGUCUUCUGCAUUGCAGGCAGAUCCUUUAUCAUCUGAGCCACCAGAGAAACAUUUUCUAUAAUAUAGGCAUAUAUAAUAUAUACAUUAUGUUCAUGUUACAUAUGAUGUGGUGCCGAGAGCCACCAUGGGAGAUCCCACCCAUGACAAAGGUCAUGCGGGAAAGACCUGACAGGCAAAAGCAGAUCAGGACUCGAGGGAUUCCCUGGACCUGCUUGAACAUCUACCCCAAAACCAAAA